GAACGCUGGCGGCGUGCCUAAUACAUGCAAGUCGAGCGAACAGACGAGGAGCUUGCUCCUCUGACGAUAGCGGCGGACGGGUGAGUAACACGUGGAUAACCUACCUAUAAGACUGGGAUAACUUCGGGAAACCGGAGCUAAUACCGGAUAAUAUAUUGAACCGCAUGGUUCAAUAGUGAAAGACGGUUUUGCUGUCACUUAUAGAUGGAUCCGCGCCGCAUUAGCUAGUUGGUAAGGUAACGGCUUACCAAGGCGACGAUGCGUAGCCGACCUGAGAGGGUGAUCGGCCACACUGGAACUGAGACACGGUCCAGACUCCUACGGGAGGCAGCAGUAGGGAAUCUUCCGCAAUGGGCGAAAGCCUGACGGAGCAACGCCGCGUGAGUGAUGAAGGUCUUCGGAUCGUAAAACUCUGUUAUUAGGGAAGAACAAAUGUGUAAGUAACUAUGCACGUCUUGACGGUACCUAAUCAGAAAGCCACGGCUAACUACGUG
rnacentral:rRNA from 1 species